GGAUCAGAUCUAAGGGUGUUAAGAAUGCAGAAUCGAUAGAUCGGAGAAGAAGAUUAUACCAUUGUUGUGGAAUUGAGAUUGAACUAGCCUCUGUAGAGAUCAAUCGUCGGAGAUCGGAAACUGAAUUCUCCGAUGAGGUCAGUGAAUGGGGAGAAAAGUGUUUUUUGGUUUGAGAGAUCAGAGUGUAAAUACAAUGGGGAAGGUGAUGAAAGAUUUGUAGUUAAAGUGAGAUUACUAAAAUGCCACUGGAUCUAUAAUCGUGUGGGGUAAUGUUCAUACGUAGAUCUGUGACUGUGAUGGAUCCAACGAAAGUUGUCU
rnacentral:lncRNA from 1 species